rnacentral:miRNA from 1 species
ACUCUACUCAUAUAUAAUUCCAAACUCGAUACCUGUCUAUAUAUAUAUAUAUAUAUAUAUAUAUAUAUAUAGACAGGUAUCGAGUUUGGAAUUAUAUAUGAGUAGAGU